UGGGGAAUUGUUCGCAAUGGGCGCAAGCCUGACGACGCAACGCCGCGUGGAGGAUGAAGACCUUCGGGUCGUAAACUCCUUUCGAUCGAGACGAAAGACUUCCGGGUGAACAAUCCGGGAGAGUGACGGUACCGAGAGAAGAAGCCCCGGCUAACUCCGUGCCAGCAGCCGCGGUAAUACGGGGGGGGCAAGCGUUGUUCGGAAUUACUGGGCGUAAAGGGCUCGUAGGCGGCCAACUAAGUCGGACGUGAAAUCCCUCGGCUUAACCGGGGAACUGCGUCCGAUACUGGAUGGCUUGAGUGUGGGAGAGGGAUGCGGAAUUCCAGGUGUAGCGGUGAAAUGCGUAGAUAUCUGGAGGAACACCGGUGGCGAAGGCGGCAUCCUGGACCACGACUGACGCUGAGUGAGCGAAAGCCAGGGGAGCAAACGGGAUUAGAUACCCCCGUAGUCC
rnacentral:rRNA from 1 species